AAUUAGCUGUAUAGUGAAGUACAUUUCAUUUGGAAUGUUAAAGGCUACUAUUUAGGCCUACUGUUACGUACAGUGUUCUGUAUGUCUUAUAUGUUAUACAUGGUAUAGGCCUACAUGUAUUGUAUGUAUUGUGUUCUGUUUUGUGUAGUAUGUUUGUGUUGUUGUUCUGUCUCCUCCUCCUGUUUUCAUUCUCCAAAUUCUCAGAUGUGCACACCUGGUCCCAAUCACCACACCUGUUCCAGAUCUCCCAUUCCCCUUUAAAUAGUCCUGUGUUUGUUUGUCAGGGUUGAGUGCUUUGGUUUGAGCUGUGGCAGAGCUUUGGUUGAGCUCUGUUGGCUUGUUUUUGGAGUGUAUUUGCUAGUGUUUACUAGUGGUUGCGAGUGCUUGCGAGUGCUUGGUUUCUUUGUUGGUUUAUUGUAUUGUCUUUAGUUAUUAACCACUUGUUUAAACCUCAUUACUUUAGUUGUUAGCAGCCUACUUUAGUUUUGUCUUUGCCUUCACAUAAUCUCCUUCAUUUAUUGAAGGAGCUAUGAUAGGAAUGUGAGUGCCAUCUAUGCAGCCAAUCACACCUGGAAACCCUAAAAUACAUAAAAUUGACUGAUUAGUGCUUCAAGUCUCAAAGCUUUAUGACAUGAAUAAAUUAUUGCUUAGACUGUUACCUGCAAUUCUGUGGAACUCUUCUUUGAGAAGUCUGCUGGGUCUGUGACUUGGGAAAACUACAAACGUGUAUAGUAGCCGUUUCAGUGCAAGUGUCACAUUUCGAACAGCCCGACAGACCGUUGCCUUGGACACAUGCUCUGCAUCACCAACGUUAUACAAAAAACUGCCGUUGGCAAAAAAUCGCAGUGCAAUACAAAGAAUUUGCUCGGAACUGAGAGCGUGUCCACGAUGUGUCGUGAACUAUGUGAGGGCUGAGAAUAUUGUUUAGAUAAAUUAUAGAUGAUGCAGAGAAACGGAAAUGCUCAAACAGGUACUCAUCAGGGAAUGAUAAAACAUCCAAUCGGGGUCUAAUAACCCUCACCUGACGGAGAUUUCUGAGGAGUAUCUGCGCCUCUACAUCAACUGGCUUUUCAAUAAAAGGACACGCCAUGUCUGCCACUGCCUUCCGUCUGCAGGCUUCAACUUAAGAGCAGGCGAAACUCAGGGUUAGUUGAAGAAAACCUGCCAGCGAGCAGGUUCGUUCAACAGGUUCGUCAAAGUCAACACAACAUCUAUAUCAUCCAAACUACGCAAGUUAAGCAUGAACGAUACGACUAAUAACAGCUGAGUCUGGAAUGAAACACAGAUCUGUUGCUGACGACACUGACCACACACACGCGUGCAACUACCUACUUUCUGGCGCCCCCCUCCCCCCAAAAAAUAAAGUGUAUAAAUUGAAUUGAUUUAAAGGAGUUUCAAUUAUGUAGUCAUGAUAAAGUAUGGGCUAUAAAAACUUUAAUGUUUAUUUUAAAGUCCAAUUUCACAAGUUCAAAGAACAAGUUCAAGAAUUGCAAGCAAUAAAUUGUGCAUAACGUUACUUUGAAAUAGUGCAUAACGUUACUUUAUGAAGUUUGACAAGCACCAGGGACAUUUAUUUCACCACAUUAGAAAUUGAAUGAGUCAAUCUAACGUUAGCAUAUACCUCAGCUUGCUAGUAGACCAUGCAACAUUAGCGAACCACCAAGCAAACUCUGUAAAAAGUAACAAUAUUUCAAUCUUACCUUCAUAUCAGCCAAAAGGAGGUGGCUGCAGAGACUGUUAACAAUUCAACUGUCUCUUAAAAAUGACAAUUCUGAUCCACCCAUCGAUUUGUUGUGUAGCAGGACACAGAUGAAAAGUCAGAGACAUAAGAGUCUUACAGUCACGUAUCAGUAGCCUGGUCCUACCAGACCUUCGUACUUCAUUUAAUUUGUACAGAAGGUCUGGAACUGCUCAAUUGACAAACGUUCACUCACUUGGAGGCGGGUGUCUGUAGAAGUUUUAAAAUGAUUGGAUCUGCCCAGUGCCACUCUGGAUCUGCCAUAACCAAUCGCAUAGCGUUUGGUCGUGACGUAUGUCAUGCGACGGGACCGGCUCCUUCACCGCUAACGGAGCCAGCUGGAAAAUCUAACCUUUCCCGAACCCGGUGGGGAGAAGCGCCACAACAUCAUUGCCACCAACAAAACUCUGCAAAGCUUGUUCUUGCUCCGGUAUUAAUUGAUCGAUUUUCGGCAGCGAUCCCACAACAGACCGAAUAGCUUCUCUCGUAUCCUUCUCCAUUGUCUUCCUCUGACUACAACUGAAACUGGCGCGCAACCUAGACGUCAUCGUUCUGAGCAUUCAUCAAAGGAUCAACAGCUGUCACUUUUGGCGGAGCUCCAGCAGCUUCUAGCGAAAAAGUGAUUGCCACGGUCCCGAAGGGAGAGGAAAUGCAGGGAUUCUAUUCCCGCUAUUUCCUUGUACCGAAGAAAACAGGAGGGCUGAGACUGAUUCUCGAUCUAGCCCGAUUCAACAAAUGCAUUGCGGAGAGGCCGUUUCACAUGUUAACAAUCAGACGAGUGUUACAGUGUGUAAAACCGGGCGACUGGUUCACCUCAAUAGAUUUGAAGGACGCUUACUACCACGUCACAGUGAUCCCCAAACACAGGAAAUUCCUGCGUUUCUCAUUCCAAGGGUCACACUACCAGUACAACCGUCUCCCUUUCGGCUAUUCUCUAGCCCCACGAACGUUUUCCAAAUGCGUGGAGACGGCUCUCCGGCCGCUGCACGUAACAGGAAUGAGAGUACUGUUCUACUUGGACGAUCUGCUUUUGAUAGCUCGCUCCAAGGAAGAAGAUUCAAACAAAAAAGCUGAUGUCAGCCGCUCACACGGUGGUGCCACUGGGGCUGCUUCACAUGAGGCGGCUGCAGAGAUGGUUUUCUCGCCUGCGCAUCGACCCGGUGCGCCAACGGCGGCGCACAGUGACCAUUCCCCUAUCAGUGGGCCCCGAUUUGACCCGCUGGGAGCACACACACUUGCUCUCCAUCAGAGCAGCGUACAUCCCCGGUGUCCUGAACAGAGGGGCCGACAUAAUGUCGAGGGGGGGUCCCCAAACAGGAGACUGGACUCUGCACCACGACCUGAUCAAUCAGAUAUGGAGCGAGUUUGGGAAGGCGGAGGUCGACCUAUUGAAAUUGGGUCCUAUAUGUAGUCGAAUAAUAAAAUAAAAUUCUAAUUUGGUGCCGUCUUGACCGAGAAAAGGCAGAAAGUGACUUUUUGGCGCUUGUGGAUUGAAGACAACAACUCCCACCAUGCACAGCUUCGCUGGCGGCCACUCCCGCUGAUCAUCUCCGCCUAUCGGACACCUCCUUGUUUCAUCUACUAAUGGAACAAAUCAGCGUGGAGCUUGAACCGACGUCACUAGAGUAGUGACGCUUGCACAGAAGCAUACGGCCGACAUCUUUCCUUAUUCUGGGUGGAAAUAGUAACAUAGUUACGCCAUUAAAUGCGUUUAUGUAAACAUUUUUAGCGAGAAAUGUGCAUUUUAAUUUCAUAAUGUUCGCUCGUUGAAUUUGAAGGAUGUUUGGUUUGAUAGUUAUGACGAAGAGGGAACGCUCCAUUCACUUGCAUGGACAGCGUCUCUGGUUGCUAAGCAACCUCAACGUCUUGGCGGACUAUAUUAUUGUUAUUUAUAUCCGAGAUUAUUUAAUCUAACCCGAUCUAAACUCUAUCAUGCACCCAAACAUGGCGGCGUUUGGAUUUCCUACCUCGGACUCCUAAAUCCAGCGCAGCCACAGGCGCCUUGGCGCGUUGAACCAAUUUUUGUGACACACAAUGAUCAAGCGACAAGUUAGGCACGUUACACGCGUUUGGUGUGGCCGUAGCCCGUGUCCACCAAAAGCGUUUUUUUAUGCGGUUUCACCCAAAAAAUCGGCUUCGCGUGGACGGGGCCAAGAAGGCGAAUACACGUCACCAAGACGGGGAGACAGCGCCAGGCGACUUACGCCACUAUCUGCCAAUGGAUCGUGGAUGCCUGGGCUGAUAUAACAGUCUCCACUGUGGUCCAAGCUUUCACGAAGGCAGGAAUAAUCUCUGAACUGCCAGGCAACAACAGCGACAAUGACUCGGAUAAUGACGAGAGGAAUCCGGGCAUGUUGGAUGCCGUAGGCCUACUCGCCCAACUGUUCAAUUCGCAAACACAAGAAUUCGAGGAAUUCGUAGACGGGGAAUGAACUGAAAAGGUGAGCUUAUUGUUAAGAGAUAUUGAUCAGAUAUUGUUAAUAUGCACAUUAACGUUUGAACAUCGUUACCAUGGGAGUGACCGGAGUUGUCAGAACGCUUAAUAAAGUUUGACUUUAUCUGACUGUUUUGUUGACAUUCUCUAUAGCACAGCUCGGUCUUGUCGAUGCAUAACACAACCCCAGUCAAACGUUUGACUGCAGUAUCUUCUUUUCUAUGCGCCUAAUAAUCCGGUGCGCCCUAUAUAUGAAAACAGUUCUAAAAUAGGCCAUUCAUUAAAGGUGCGCCUUAUAAUCCGGUGUGCCUUAUAGUACGGAAAAUACGGUAGUCCUCGUUUGUAUUUCUUUCGAAAUGGUGAACUUUUGCAUGGAGCCAUCUUCUAUGUCAGAUCCAGUACCCUCCGCCAAUGUACUUCAGUUUUAUCAACAGCCUCUGUUAUCUUAGCUUCAGACGCUGUGGAUGUUAGUUUCUGCUGGUGAAGUCCCACCCACUGGCACUGCUCUAAUAGGUCUGUAGCGUCAGUGGGUCCCACCCCCUAGAGGGGGGUGGGACUAGUGGUUGUAGUCUUACGAGAAUCAUCUCCUCUUACACUUCCUGUUUUCUUAUACGCAAAAAUCGUCAUAUUGCGUCAUUAAAAACAGGAAGUGUUGGAGAUCGAUACGGAUCUCUCCAGUCUCUCCAGAAAAUAAGGGAAUGAUGCUAGACCAUUCAAAAAUAUGCGGGGGGUUCUAAAAAUACAAAGCUUAUGUGAAAUGGGUGAAGUUUCCCUUUAAGGAGCACCAGAAUGGGGGUGGCUCAAUUAGCCUAUGAGCCACAGCUGCAGACUAUCACGGCUAACCAGCCAGACAGGAGCAUGUGAAUCUUUUAAAACAUGUUGAAUACAGUGAAGAUCCCAUUCACAUCUUCGCAUUACCUUCCCCCUCUGUUAAGCUUGCAAACACAGUUUCAAGCGCACUAGAUAAAAAAGGUGUCCCGUGUAUCCAGGCGCCGGAUAUGCGGGAGAGUGGAGGCAGUAAUAAGGUUGAGGAGCUUGAGUGUGCCUGGCGUAACGAUGGAAUUGGAGGCAGCCGUGUUCUGGAUGCCGGGGAUAUAGGCAGUGUCCUGUGGGCCCAUUCUCUCUCUCUCUGAUAGACGCGGUUUGACGGCUGGAUGCAGCGGAUCGCAUUGUCUUCUCUGCGCCCCUGUUGAUUAAUGGAACUGCCUGUCAAUAAAUAUAGUUUAUUGUAAUGAACGUUACCCGACGGUGUCUGUCUCCCUAUGUUCAACGCCUUUGAGCCAAGGCGUUGCCAAACGCGGGUGUACUUUGUGCAAUGUGAGGCAGUGCAAGCAGCCAGAAGUUCACAGGAAAAAACAAUACAAAGGUGAUCAAAUACACACAUGUCCAUGACCUUAACACAUGGUAUCCUCAGGCCCAGGCUAAAAAUGAGGUCCAGAGUAUGGCCAUGGGUUUUACCAGAAACAUGUUGUUCAAAAUUAAGACUUAGUGAUGCUUAAAAAAUCAGUAGCAAGGGUAUUAGACAGGUCAUCAACAUGGAUAUUAAAAUCCCCACAAAGCACAAUUCUAUCAUGGUUUAGAACAAGACUAGAUAAAAAUUCAGAGAGUUCUGAUAAUAAUGGGCCAGCUGGUUUAGGGGGUCGGUAGAAUGUUGCAAGAAUGACGGGGUUUGGGCCACCUAGUUUAAGCAACAGCACUUCAAAAGAGGAAAAAACAUUCCAAGGAAUUUGAGUGCAUUUAUGUUGCUUAAACUAAAUGCACUGUUACAAGGCCGCCACCACGGCCACAAACCCUAGGCUGGCUAAUACAGUCAAAGUCUGGGAGUCUUCAACGAGCUUGCAGUGAUCACCGGGUUGUAACCAGGAUUCAAAACAGGAUAAAAACAUGAAAUCCAACUCGGCAGAAAAAAUGAAAUCAUUUAAAAUAAAAGUCUUAUUAGAGAGAGAUCUUACAUUUGAAAGAGCCAUCUUAAAAGGUCUAUGCUGGGCUAAAAUCUUUACUGGGGUUAUGGUCCGGAUCAUUGUUAUGUUAUUAAUAUUUCUGUGUUUAGGAUUCCUGUUGAGUUUGGCCGGUAGGCAUCUAAUCGUUACAGGAACCCUAUUACUAAUGGAAAUGGUGCGAGAAAGAUCCGGAUCCGCCUGUGUAAUGAUGGAUUGUAUAGGGAGGCUUUCCGGUGCGAGUGUCAGCGACAGAUGUGACGUGACUGGCAGGGGGAACUGACGGGGGGAACAGUGAUCUGAGUGGGCGGAUGUUUCGGGGAGAAGGGGAUAAACAGUCAUGCAUGUGAGGUUGAUUGAACAGUGUGCUGUAGGUUAGCCGUUAGCAUUUUGUUACCCCACCAGUUGGGGUGAAUACCGUCUGGCCUGAAUAAAUGUGAACGGUCCCAAAACAGAUCGAAAUUAUUAAUAAUACCAAAUUUUAGAGCUGUGCAGGUGGAUUGGAGCCAGGUGUGGAGGCUGAGAAGUCUGCUAAAACGCCCCACUCCACGGCCCAGAGAGGGGAUGGGACCAGAAAAGUAGACACUCUUGUCACAUGAAAAUGAAAUGAAUCUUUUUUGAUGAGCUCAGACUGCUCAUGAGCAAUGUCGUAUGUUCCGACGUGGACAAUCACACGUCUAAUUGAGGACGGGAGCGAGCGCAGAAGCCCCGGAAGUUUGCUGGUGAUGACAGGGACCGUGGCUCCGGGGAAAAAGUGAGUUGCAGCGUUGAAAAAGCGUGUGUUCCUUAUAAUGGAGUGUCCGACUAUUAAUGUGGUCGGAAGGAAAAGGGGCCGAGGGGCUGACAGCCGUGGAAUCUCGGAGCCAGAGAGUGGAAACGCGGUGUCCACGCUGCAUGGCCCAACAGGAGAGAGAGGACGCGGGGCAGCGAUGUCAGCACGGGGAGCGGGACUCACCGGCACAGGGCGAGGAAGAACUCCGGAGCGUCUCAACACGGCCUCCCUAACGCCCCGUGCCCACUACCUCCGUCCGUUGACUGAUCCCCAUUGACUUUGAAUGGGGACGGACGCGCAAUGCAUUGUGGAUCCGUCCGUUCCGUUGGAGCCUUCGGCUCAGUCAAGAAGUUGAAAAAUGUUCAACUUUUUCGGCAGCGACGGAUCCGUCAUCCAAUCAGAUCACGUAUGCAAAUUUAAGCACUGUGACGCGACUCGGGCUCUGACGAUACUGUAAAGCUGGAAAGCGAUGAGAAGUUAAUUGAAAAAUGGAGGACCAACUUAUAAUCGCCGUUGGUUCUCGGCCAAUUUUGUACGACCAGUCCAUGUACACAUACAGGGACAUCAGACUAAAAGAUCGGGCAUGGCAAGAUCUGUCAUUGGAGGUGGGGGAAACAGGUAAUAUGUAUUUCCUUUCUGAUUAUUUUCGAUGUAUGUACUACUUUUCAAAUGAAUCAGUGUUGAAUGACUGCUAGCAGUACAGCAUGCAUGGUCCAGCAUUUGCAUCGUCCAAAAUAUCUAAUUAACUGCUACCUAGAAUGUAUAGUUGCAAUUGCUGACACAUGUUUAAACAUGCACUUUCUGUAUGCAUAUGCGUUUUGGAAACAAUAUCCCUGUAUUUAUUCAUUCGAUUUGGACCGUGCAUGCAGAAUCCAAAAACAUAACAUAGCAGCUACAGCAUAGCUACUGAUACAUAGAUUAUAAAGAGUACAUAGACAUAAAUGUUCAAGUCUUUACAGAAAAUAAUAAUGAAAAGAAUGAAGUAGAUUGUAAUGUAAUCAAUCAUUUUAUUUCAUAUAUUUAUUUACAGUGCCUGAAUGUAC